rnacentral:pre_miRNA from 1 species
CUUGUACUCCCUCUGUCCGAAAAUACUUGUCAUUGAAAUGGAUGUAUCUAAAUGUAUUUUAGUUCUAGACACAUCCAUUUUGAUGACAAGUAAUUCCGGACGGAGGGAGUACUUG